CAGCGUCAGAAGCCGCCCUGCAUCAGCAGAGACAGAAAGCAGAGCUGCUCUACCACGUUCCUCUCACCCCAUUUUCCACAUCUCAGAACCACACGCCAGCCCCGCCUGUUUCUGAAGGAAGGGUUUGCAAGCCCGUGUGGGGAGCCUGGAUCUGGCUUGCUAAAGUGCAAACCUCACGCUGCAUGACAUCUUUUCACUCAGGACACUAGACUUCUCGCCUUGGAACCGCAGAGGCUUUCACCAACACAAGCAAGCGACUCCUCACUAGUCCUGUGGAGGUGCAGCAGCCGUGAAACGCAGAGCUGGAGUGUGUUCCAUCCACAGGCUGGCAGCCUGAACUUCUCCUCUCAGAAUCUAACAAGUGAGCACGUGAGAAACGAGAAGAACACGGCUGGAGUUUCAAGUUCCAGCCUUUUCUGUGGGUUUGAAACAGGCUACUAAUUAUGGACUUCUGAGUCACAAAGGGGAGCCCAGCUGAUCAGGGCAAUGCUGAGAAGCAGUGAGCCUGGCCCUCUUGGGUAACGCGGUGAACACACAGCAAUGACAGGCGCUGUUGGUUGGAGUCAUGGGCCUAACGCCACAUGGUGCUAGAAGUGGGGGAGCUGUCAGGAUUUCCAUAGCAAGUAUUCACUGCAUUUGGAUGAGAGAGUCUGCUGAACCAACUCGGAUUUCCACAAUGUGUGUACCAUGGGGCUUGGAAAUUAUCUGUGCAGGAAGGUGGCCAUUUAUUUGUAGCAUAUUUCAAGCCUACUGAGGUGCUUGAUACGUCAAAGGUUUCUAAAGGAGCACAGGUAACCCAGGUCAUCUCUGCUGCCUGACCUAAGUGAGCAGAGCUGACAUCCAGGGGCAGCUUCCAGACCUCCCACCUGGCUCUGCAGGGUUCCUCUCACACGGGGUACAAUGUUGUUUCACGAAAUGAGUGAGACCCAUGAGACUGAAACUGCACAGAUUCUGAGGCCUGCACGUGGGGAGCUAUGCGAAUUUUAUUUGAAGCACUGUGAGCUUCCAGAAUGCUGGACACAUUCACAUUCUGUUUGUUGAUGAUGUGUGCCAUAGUCACAGUUACUAGUGAAGAAAAUCAAAAACUGACAGCUGUGAAAGCCAUUGGCCUAACACUACCCAUAUUUCACCCUCUGAUGUCUAAAA
rnacentral:lncRNA from 1 species